UUUUGCUGCCCCCUCCUUCUAGAUGCAGAAACUAGAAUUCCAGCCGCCGUCAUGGCAGCCGCGAGCAUGCUGACGACGGGCCGGGUAACGUGCUAUAGUUGAGUCGGUAUUACAAUUCACUGAGCCGGAUUUAUACACGGAUACGCCCUUCCAUAGGGAUAUGGUUGGGGAAAGAUUUAUCGGAGGAGGAUCGGCCCGCGUUGGAUUAGGUAGUUGGUGGGGUAAUGGCCUACCAAGCCGACGAUCCAUAGCUGGUUUGAGAGGAUGAUCAGCCACACUGGGACUGAGACACGGCCCAGACUCCUACGGGAGGCAGCAGUGGGGAAUCUUGGACAAUGGGGGCAACCCUGAUCCAGCCAUGCCGCGUGAACGAUGAAGGCCUUAGGGUUGUAAAGUUCUUUCAGCGGGGAAGAUAAUGACGGUACCCGCAGAAGAAGCCCCGGCUAACUCCGUGCCAGCAGCCGCGGUAAUACGGAGGGGGCUAGCGUUGUUCGGAAUUACUGGGCGUAAAGCGCACGUAGGCGGAUCAGUCAGUUAGAGGUGAAAUCCCAGGGCUCAACCCUGGAACUGCUUUGAUACUGCUGGUCUGGAGGUCGAGAGAGGUGAGUGGAAUUCCGAGUGUAGAGGUGAAAUUCUAGAUAUUCGGAGGAACACCAGUGGCGAAGGCGGGUCACUGCUCGAUCUGCCUGAGGUCGAAACGUGGGAGCAACAGAUAGAUCCCU
rnacentral:rRNA from 1 species